GCUAAAGUGAUAGAUUUGGGUCUUGCUUUACUAACAGUGUUGUUUGCAGCAGAAAAAGUUCUAUAAAAGCACAUAUCAUGCUUAACCUAAUAGUACUAUCCACAGCAAUGAUCAAUUUCUUUACUCAUCCAUUAUUAAUUGACUUCUUUAUGGUUCAGGUGCGGGGCACAUUUAUACAUCUGAGUGAGAUUGCAAAUUUGGUUUGCAUAUUACAAAUGCUGUGAACUGCAUAGUUCUCCUAAGCAAGGAGGUGGACUUCAUCCUCCUUACCACUUUCACCCUUGCCUACCCCAGGGACUGUCUGACAAGGUCCAUUAAUGAACAUAAGAGGAAGGACCAUGGAAAGGAGUAUAUCUCUUACAUAUUCACAGAAGAUUAUGCCAAGCAGGAAUACUGCGUAUAAGACCUAAAUUUCAUUGGAAGAACCUGACUGAGGAAGUGAAAAGGAAAGGAUGGGAAAUAGGAAAACAUUUGAAAAUAAGGCUGUUGACAGGCUGGAGAAGAAGGAGGAGAUUGAAAAUUUAAAUUGUGCUACCUGAAACUGUGUAUUUUCAUGGAUACAAAUAUGUCUUUGCCUAUUUAAAAACUACUAGUUACUAUGAAGUAGGAUUUAUCCAUGUCAGUUAUGGUACAAUAUGCUUUAGGAAUUUAAUUCCUGGGGACUUAAAUUGAAAGUUAGUGGUAUGGUUAUUUAAAAACUCAUUAAAAACAAUUUAAAGAGAUAAUUUCACACUGUAAUUGUGCACUUUUCUCCAUUUCCAUUGCUUAUAUAGAUAUGUAUUACGUCUUACCAUCUUUUAAAUGAUGUUUAGUUACUUAUAAUAGUUUUUCUUUAUGUGAGCAUAGUCACAAAUACAUAUGAUAGUCUAAAAUAAUACAAAGAAUAGUGUAC
ensembl:lncRNA